AUGAUCUCUGCUUAAACCCAAACUAAUGAUUUAUUCUUCUCUCACCUGGUUUUCUGUUGAAUGGCAGCCUGCGUGACCUGCAUGAAGGCAUCUUCCCUCAGGAUGAGUAUCCAGAUGAGGUCUCCACAGAUGAGGAUGAUGACAUGUUCGGUACCAGGAAGAGAAUGAAGAGAGGACGAAGCCGUGUGGAGGAUGAGGACGAGGGAGUGCCAGCAGCCAAGAAAACCAAAGG